GUGAGGAAUAUUGGACAAUGGGCGCAAGCCUGAUCCAGCCAUGCCGCGUGCAGGAAGACGCAUCUAUGGUGUGUAAACUGCUUUUGUACGGGAAGAAACACUCCCUCGUGAGGGAGCUUGACGGUACCGUAAGAAUAAGGAUCGGCUAACUCCGUGCCAGCAGCCGCGGUAAUACGGAGGAUCCAAGCGUUAUCCGGAAUCAUUGGGUUUAAAGGGUCCGUAGGCGGUUUAAUAAGUCAGUGGUGAAAGCCCAUCGCUCAACGAUGGAACGGCCAUUGAUACUGUUAGACUUGAAUUACAAGGAAGUAACUAGAAUAUGUAGUGUAGCGGUGAAAUGCUUAGAUAUUACAUGGAAUACCAAUUGCGAAGGCAGGUUACUACUUGUGGAUUGACGCUGAUGGACGAAAGCGUGGGGAGCGAACAGGAUUAGAUACCGUGUAGUCC
rnacentral:rRNA from 1 species